rnacentral:rRNA from 1 species
CGAAGGGGGAGAUUCAUCGUCAGCGGUGCAGGCUGCUCGGUGACUCGCGAUGUCGCGGGCUACGGCUCGACGUCACGCGGUCGUCGUGGCAUCGUUCGGUAACGUCGACGUGCACUUCUCCCCUUGUAGAACGUCGCGACCCGUUGGGUGUCGUUCUAAGGCCCGGAUGGCUGCCUGUCUCGACGUUUCGGCGCAUCGAGACAGACCACCGGUCGCCAGUUAACGGCUGCCCGGCGGUACACACACGGUAUAGAGCCGCAGCAAUUUAUCGAUUGCGUCGGACCCGCCGCAAGCGAGGCCAGUGUCUCACCGGGAAUCGCGGACCUAGUGCCGUCCCCGGUCCUGGCCAGCUGUUGGUAGGCGGUGUUCUCCGACUGGCCGAUUUUUUUUACCGGUCGGCGACGCUACUGCUUUGGGUAAUCUCAGGACCCGUCUUGAAACACGGACCAAGGAGUCUAACAUGUACGCGAGUCAUUGGGACCGCAUACCUAAAGGCAAAAUGAAAGUGAAGGUCGAUCUAGCGUCGACCGAGGGAGGAUGGAUCGCGUUACGAUGCGAUCCCGCACUCCCGGGGCGUCUCGUUCUCAUUGAGCACCCA